UAUUGAUGCAUAAGGUCGUUGAUAAUUUGGCGAUAUUAUAUAAUGGAUUGCAGGUGACUAACUCAACUAUAUUUAGGUGUACAAAAAAUAUAUAGAGCAAGUUGAUUUUACGGAAUUAGUUGUUGCUAAUUGAGAAAGGCUAAGUGGCUUACCUGAGAUGUUGCACAUUGUUAUGAUCGAUGGUUACGCUUCGUUUUCUGAAGAAAAUUCUACCAAACCAAAACAAAAUACAGAACUCCACAUACACUUAAGCUAGCAGUUGUUUCUCUUUGUUAACUCUAACUAUUGAGCGGUAACGUAUAGUCACAGUGCAGGCCGCCUACCGACGGGCCUCCGCUUGCUGCAGCUUCUCUGUGGCUUCAUCCUUUCCCUGACUCGGUCUUCUGCAGAUCGAGAUGGACAACAUCUGAAUUUUAUCGGGGGUUGGAAGGCCAAGGAGAACGAGAAGGAAGUCGCAGCCUUGGAUGCCACAGUGAAAAGUGACGUCGACACCGGUGAUAAUUUUAUUGGGGAUUGGAAGGCCAAGGAGAACGAGAAGGAAGCCGCAGCCUUGGAUGCCACAGUGGAAAGUGACAUCGACACCGGUGAUAAGGAACUCCCAAAAUUUCUCCCGCGCCGGUUCUUUCUUCGCCAUCUUCUCUCCAUAUCACUGUGAUAUUUUCCCUGCCUUACAUAGGUUUAUACAUGAUGACUGGUACAUGAGCAUCCUAAUUAUCACUAAUUAUUUUGGUGGUCAAACCAAUUGUGUGUAGCCAUGUACUAAACCUGGUAUUUCCUCAUAUCAGUGUGUAAAUAAGCGAAUUUUAACAUUCCCCAAAAUUUGCUGCAUGCCUUUACUAAAUCAGUGGUAUUUACUAGGCUAUUGGAUUUUAUGUUAUUUUAAUUUUUUGCAUUCACUACAAUAUUAUUUUUCUGCAUUUCGGCUUACUUGUGUUAUAGGUAUUAAUUUGUGAUCUUAUAUUUAUUUAUUGUGGUUCCUAUGUUUCUUGAUAGGUGCAUGAUGCAUGUGUCUGCUAUCUUGAAUAUCAGUGAGAAUUAUAUCAUGAUCAAGAAGUGAACUCUCAAAAGGCAUUCUGAUUUGCAAAUGUCCUCUCUUGAAAAAUUCUUAUGGUAAUUUGGUCAUUCUAGGUGCAGGAAGAGUAGUGUUCUCAAGCUAUUAAGAUUGUUUCCUUUAAAUGGUAAUUGUUAUAUGGUUUUAUUUUCUAAUUGAUCAGAUAAAUAGGUUGUAUACUGAAGGGGUGAGAUCAGGUGUCUUCCCUGUUUAUGUACUAUUGUGAGUGACUUCAUUCUUUUUGGAGCUCUCUUGGACAAACAAUUAGAGAUCAAGAAUAUGUUCUCGUGAAAACAUUGUUUCCUGACAUCCAACGGAUCACUAGAGGUGGGUGUUCAAGAUCUCAAUAGUCGCUUGGGGCCAUUCAAUACGUAGUAGUAGUUUGGACAUUGUGGACUUCUUGAGUCAAAUGCUCUUUAUGGAAAGUAUAGAAACAUGGAAAUUUAGAAGGGUAUUUGGAAGGGUGGUUCCAGCUGCAGCUUACAUGUCACUGGGCUUGCAAUGCUCAAUGCAUCCGAAUUAUUUUGCUUCAGGUUUAAACCAUAGCAUUCUCUCCGUCAUAUACAUCAUUCUAUUGGAGAAGUCCCAGUCUACUUCCUUCGAGCAAGCAGUGUAUAGGUUGUUGACCUUAGUUCAUAGUAAGACAUGUUUAUUAAUGAAGAUUUACAUAUUGUUUCACUGACAUGUAUUAAUAAAGAUUUACAUAUUGUUUCGUCCAUCGGAUAGUCUUCCAUUUGA